AAGUUUAAUUUCUUAAUGAAAGUUAGUGACUUGCACUCUCCCAAUUGAUUCUGGAACUCCCAUAAAGACAACAAUGGCCAUAGUAUUUAUAUGAAUUCAUGGGUAGUAAUUUUCAUUAGUAUUGAAUAAGUGCCAUAAGCCUAUAAAUUGAUUGCAACAUUCGUAAAAUACAAUAUAUAUAUAUAUAUAUAUAUAUAUAGAGAGAGAGAGAGAGAGAGAGAGAGAGUCUCCCCUCCCUCAUUGUUGUAAUUAUCAAAUUAUUAAUAAAAAAUCAUAUGGUUUACAUAUAAUAAAACAAUGUAUAUUUGAAAAUGCUUGGUUAGAGAAAAAAGUUUUAUUUGGUGGAGCUUUGGAUUAAGCUAGCUAUUAGUAUACAACUACCUUAUAAGCUCAUGCAUAUACAUAAAUAUACUUAAAGAUAUAUAGUAUAAUUCUUAUAUAUAUAUAUAUAUAAAUAAAAUUUAAAUAGUAUUGAUAGUCAUUUUUAUAUUUUGUUAACUCUUUAAAAAGUCUUGUAAGAAUAUUAUUAGGUAUAAAAUGUAAUUUGUUUAUUUUUUCAUUUAUUUAUUACUUCUUAAUUUUUGUUAUUGUGAAGCACUUUUUUUGAAUUAAAAAAAAAUUAAUUUAUUCUAAACUCUUUCGUUUUUGUAUUAAAUAACUCACUUGAAUUAAUAUUUAUGAUAUGGUCCUAUAUUUGAUUUUAAAAGUAUGAAAUAAAACUCUCUCUAACAAUAAAUAAUUUACGACACAUGGUGCAAAAUUUGACUCAAAUUUGAAAUUUUAAUUGAACUUUUCCUAAGUUUUACUUUAUAAUAUAUAUAUAUAUAUAUAUUAGUUUAAUUUUGUUAGGGACUUUUUUGUGACAACGGUAAAAAAUGAUAGAUUAAGCCCCAAACUCCCCUCAAGUUUUUUAAAGUGUGAUUAAUAAUUAGAGAGAUUCAAGUCCAAAAUUCCAAAAUUCAAUGAAUAGAGGCAAUGCAUCAUUAGAACAAAAUCAAAGUACAAAAUAAAAAAGAGAGAAAAUAUGCAUGCAUUAAGUUUGGAACUAUUUUGCACAUACAUUAGGAAGAGAAAUUUGAGAAAAGUGGCGAGGGAGGGAGAGAAGACUCAUAGGUACCACUAUUUUCACUCCUAGGGCUCAAAAUUGUGUUGCUCUUUCACAUGGGCUUUUGUUCUAAAGUUAGGGUUUCAAAGGAAGAAGAAAAAUUGGUUGUGUUUGAGCUGAUUGGGAGUUUUAAAUUAAGCUUGGGAUGUCCUUAGGUAUAGUCUUAGUGUAAGGAGUGAAACUACUGAUCCCCAUAUUAUUAAACAAGUUGGAAGUCUUAGAUUACAUUUUUUACAUUCUUAAAAAAAAAAAAAAAAAGAUUACAUUUGUUUUGGUAAAUGAAUGAGCUGUUUUUGGUCAUAACUUAGGAAAUGAUUGACCAAAUGUGAUUGGCUACACAUUCCUAGCAAGCCCAAGAGAGCUUCUCUAUGCGGUAGAACGCAUCAAAUGUCAACCAUGGAGUUAGCUUAAUUUCAAUGACCUAAAAAUAGUUUGUUUGAAACUUUAGCCAUAUUCGGCAAGAGUUAUAGGCCUUGAUUUCAGUGCAAAUUUUGGGUGCUUGAUGUUUUUCAUGAGUUUUAGGUGUUGUAAGUGUCCCUAACUCACUCCAUAGCACACAUGAUUUGGGCUCAAAUAUGAUGUAAAAAGGUUAAUUCAUACUCUCCAAACCACACUCCUUCAAAUUUUUCUUAUAUCACAUGAGCUGAAACUAUGCUUAAAAAAACAAAAUAAAUUGUAAUACAUAAAUUGGCUGACAAGAUGGGCUGAAUUGGACUUACAAAAGCAUGUUGCAAAACCAACCAUGAACAAAGUCACAUGAUGAUUUACUUGGACUACUGUAUCCUAAGUGAGUGGACAAGUCAAACAAAAUAUUAUUAAUUCCACCGAUUUGUGGAAUUUGUCGUAUGGAAUAAGUUUUUGCCCAAGACAAGUCUUGCAGGCGAGAUUUCCAUAUCGCUGAUUGCUCUUUUUUUUUUUUCCUUCAUAAAACACAAAAGUUCCAUCUUGAUUGAGGAAGUUGUUAAAGACUUCGUUAAUUACUUUGAUUGGGAUUGUAGACUUCUAUUAUUACUACUAACGUGUUCUUAAAGUUUGUAAUCCCUUGUCUCUAUAUAUUAGUCAAGUCAAUACCAUGUAAAGUUGAAUUUUGGAAAAACUUCGAAAAAGAUGGAGUUGAUAGGAACAACUUAUAAAAUUUUAUCCAGUACAAAUUUUCUAUGUCACUUUUUAUGUUCCAUUUUAUGCUUAUCUAAUUAUAAUUUAUCACAUAUUUAUUUUUAUUUUUAUUUUACUUAUAAAAUAAUUAAAUUUUAAAUAAACAAAAUCAAACACAUGAAAAAUUGUGAAUAAUUGAACAUAAAGUGAAAAAGUGGAGUACAGAAUAUGUAUUUAGUAGCUUAUAAAUUAAUUUAUUCUACCUUGUCUCUGUUUUAUAAUUUAUUGGUCAGUUUAUUUUUUUAAGUUAGUUUUUGACUCAUUUUUUUAAUUAGGGUUGUCAAGGACAAGUUUUUAAUACUUUAUGUACACAUGGUCAAGUGAUUUUAAUCAAAUUAAUUAAACCAAUAAUUAGAUUAGACCAAAUAAUUUAUGUAACAAAAAGGGUCUCAAAGACACUCGUAUGUUAAGAGAGAGGAUAACAAAGUUACACAAUAUUUAGUUAAAUUAGCAGUUAAUUUUUUAGACAAUAUAAUCACUACAAGAAAAUCAAUCUAUUGCGGCGGGUACGAAAACCACCGCAAUAUGUAGCAUAUUGCGGCGCGUUUUUGGCCUGCCGCUGUACAUGAGAUCUAUUGCGGUGGGCCAAUGACCCGCCGCAAUAGUUCUAGUAUAUAGCGGUGAAAUACAGCGGCAGUCCAAUUUCCCGCCGUAAUAUGCAUUUUUUAACGGCGUUCAGCUGAUAUAUAACGGCGGGUCACACACCCCGCCGCAAUAGACCCCAAAUUGUCCCACCGAGUCCUAAAAUUUUCCCUCUGUUUUUUUUUCCCCUCUUCAUUUUUAGCGCCUUUUCGUUUUUAGCCUUUUCAUUACUCUCCCACACACACUCUUUCUCUCUCUCAGACUCUUCGAAGAUCUGUGUCUCAUCCUUGCCACUACCCACAAACCCACAAACCCACAGCUGCAGCCACCACCACCCACAACCACAGCCGCACCACCACCACCACCCAACCACCAUCACCCACAACCACAAUCACCAAAUCACAAACAAAAACAAACCGUAAACCCAUGGUCACCACUAGCCAACCUAACCCAUAGCAAACCCACAGUCACCACCAACGACCAUCACCCACCCACCUGCCACCACCGUAAACCCAUAGUCACCACUAGCCAACCCAUCCCACAGCAAACCCACAGUCACCACCAACCACUAUCACCCACCCACCUGCCACCACCGUAAACCCCAACCCAAAAUCAACCCACCACUAGCCACCACCACUACAAAACAACCACCAUCUCACCAAACCGUGUACCACUCUGUCGACGAAAUCGUGUACCAUUCUCGAUCUGGUGGGCUGCUCGACGUCCAGAACGAUAUCGCAGUUCUGGAAAUCGUGUAGCCGUAGCUCUGAAGGUCAGUCUUCUCUUUCCUUUUCUUUGGAUCUGUGUGUGUUUCUUUCAAAGCUGUUUUGAUUUGUUUUGAGUUUCUAUUUCUCUGUUUCAUUUCUAGGGUUUCAGUCACGGUCUUCUUCUUCACACCCACUCUCACUGUAAGUUUGUUUAUUUAUUUUUAUUUUUUAUUUCUCUGUUUAUUGUUCAUCGGUCCUAUCCAUUUAGAAAGUCUUUUUAAGUUUUGCAUUCAGUAUGUGGUUGUGCACGUGGUUUUUCUUUUUUCCACGGUCAUGGGUUUUUGCACAGGUAAUUUCCUCUUAAUUCAGAAUUUGGGCUUUGAUUUUCAUGAAUGAAAAGUUUCUAUGAUAUUUCGAGCAACUGUUAGAUUAAUAAUUGACAACAUAGAUUUUUAUUUUGAAAAAUUGAAACAAUUGCAUGUUAAUAGAUUAUAAUCCCCAAGCUAUAUUCAAAUGUUAAAAUGAGAUUGUAUCAAAUUAGUUUUCUGUAAACAAAAUUUGCAAGAAUAAACCAAACUCAGUUAACAAUAUUGCUAAGGAUCUUGUCAAAUUCCUAAUUUGUCUCUGUAAUCAUGAUGGUUCUGUUGUAAUUUGAUACUUUCAUGUUUGAAAUAUUAUUGUUAAGUUUGAGUAGGAGCCCCUUUCUGUUGUAAUUACAUUUCACUACUUGUGACAAAUCGUUUCCCUCCUUGUAAACCAUAAUUUUUUUCUUGAAAAUUCACAAAUUUUUGUAGAAAUUAUGAAUCCAUGACCUUUACGAAAAUUUCUAGCAGAAAAAUACCAUGCACAAUGAAGGAAACUUAGUUACCAAUACAAGAACCAAAUGGGUAAGCUAAGACUGUCUUCUUUAAGUUCUGUACCCCUAUUUUAUCGGGGAAGUUUCUUUAGAGUUGACCAAGUGGAGAUUUUGGGGAAGACUACUAGAAAUGUUAAUUCAAUAGCAGUCCUUGGUGGUUGAUGCUUUAUCACUUUUAAGCUAGCAAGUUGUUUCUCUAAGAUAAUAGAGAUACAUCUCUCUAAUGCAUUUCUUUGAGACCAAGGGAUAGAUAUUUUAAUGUAGUUGGAUUCCUUGUUUUGACUGCUCUUGGGAAACAAGAACUGAAAUACCUAUUAAUUAUUGUGGGUGUAUUAGAUUGAUUAUUGGCCUAGAUACAUUUAGUUAAUUAUCAACUCAUAACAGUUUAUACUUUAUUUUCAACCCCCUUUCUCAAUUUUUCUUGCCUCCUUAGUUUUUCACUUAAGAUGUGUAUUAUGUGAGUUUGCAAAUAACCAGUACUUGGGAUCCAUUCUUAAAUACAUUUGAUAGAUGUAUGUGGUUGUGCAUGUGUGUGGGGUUUGUUGUUAAUCUGCUUGAGGAAAUUCUAUUCUACCUGCUUGGUUGUAGGCUAUGUGAUUUCCUUCUAUUAUUUAUUUGGUUCUAUUUCGAUAAUUUUCACAAAUUCCUUUUUUUUCUUUUUUUUUUUCUUUAGGAGGCUAGCUUUGACCUGUUCUCAAUUCUAGUUUUAGCCUUGUCAUUCUCAUUUUUCUUUUAUCUUCUUAUUUUCUUGGAUUCUAAAGAAAUUCUCUUCUAUUUUUUCUUGGUUUUCCAAUCUUCUUUUAUCUUCUUCUUUUUUUUUUUUCAGCUGGAUUUUAAAGAUAAUUUAUUUGUUCUAGGAUUUUAAUCCAAGUGUAUUUUUUUAUGUUGCAUUCGUCCUUUUUUGCCUUCUAACCUUUAAUUUUGUAUCAAGGCAAUCUUCUACACUUAGAGUAGUGUAAUUCUAGUAAGACUAGUUGAUCAUCACCAAUAAUCAUAUAUCUUGCAUAUUCUUCUUCUACUGCCUUGGAUUUUCUGGACAUUCUAAAUGUUUGCUCCUUAGCAACUCUUCCUUUUUUAGGUGUUUGCUAACCUUCAAUUUAUAUAAAUUUAGUACAUUCUUGAAUUGAUCGUUCUAUUAGGUUUUUUUUUCUAGAAUAUGGAGCUUUGACAGUUGCAUAUGCUAUUUGGUUAAACUGGUUCUUGUGGGGUUUUAGAAGAACUUUUUCCUGUAGAUAUUGUGUUUUGAUGUUGGUUGAAAAUUGGGAUAAAAUUGUUUAGUGUUUCAUCAAUUUUUUGAUCUGUUUGAUAUCUUAGAAAGUGUGAAAUUGCCUUUUUUUCUAUUAGGUUUCUGUGCUCAGCAUAUAGGAGAUGCUUUGUGACCAUUCUAAUUGGUUUUUAUUUUUUAUUUUUAUAUUAACAUAUUAUAUGGUUAAUGAGCUUAAUUAUGUGAAUUGACCUUACAGGAGAGCCACUGGCCCAAUCAGACAAGCGAAAGGAGGUUGGACUGCACAGGAGGUGGUGAACGAUCUGACGGGUAUCUUAGGCCAUUUUAUUCUUUCAAGCCAAGUGGGUAUUGAGAGAGGUUUGUUCUCUUUCAAUUUGGUUGAGAAUUGAUUUUUUACUUCAUUUCUAUGAUUCCUGGUUCUGGGUUUUGGUAUAAGUUUCCUUACAAUUGUGAUUCUUACCUAUUUUUUGAGAUAAAAAAAUAAAAAUUGCUGCUUGCCCAUUUGAGUUGUGUAAUUGUACUUGUGCAUAGGUUUAUUUCGUCAGUUCUACAAUAAAUUAGUCAUGUGAGUAUUAUGGAAUUGAAUGUUUUGAAAUGGAUUUCAUGCUAAGUGUAAUUUCUAAUUGGAGCUUAAGGUUGCCUCUGGUCAACAAGAACGUUAUAGAUUUCUAGGGUUCUAAAAUAAUUACUUGGGCAAUCAAUUCAAAGAAGACAGAUUUUUCAUCUAGAAAUUUAUUAACCUAUAUUAGCAUUCAGUUUUUAUUUUAAUUUUUAUUUAUUUAUUAAUCUUUUAAAUUUUGUUAUUAUUAUUAUUUUUUAAUUUUUAUCUACAUAAGAAACAACUCUUCUCUGAUUCUCUUAAUAUCAACUCACCUUGCUGCCACUACAGUAUUAAUUUUUUUUGGCAAUUUCAUUGCACAAUCAAAGAUACAACACAUGCUCUUCUUUCUAACUCUUUUGUAUGCUGGAGCCCUAGUGAAAUUCAAAAUCAUUGUUUAGGAGUCUUUAUAUGGCUAGCUAUUUUGUCUAAAACUUUGUGUCCUAAAUGUUAAGAGCUGGUGUUAUUAUUACUUGUUUGUUGGUUGUAAGGUACCUUUGUUGAAGGAAUAAAAGAAGAAGUUGUAUUAUCACCUGCUCACGCACUUUCCCUUAUAGCAGCUGAAGAAGGUACAAAUGUGAUUUUUUUUUAAAUUUUAUUUAUUAUUAUUUUUUAAUAAUACAAUAAAGUCAAAAGAAAAUAGGUUCUUUAAAACUAGAGUUGGAUAAUAUAUAUAUAUAUAUAUAUAUUGAUAAGUAGAGCUGUGUAAUUUAUUGGGAAAAGUUAAUAGAUGCUUGGAGAGAUUUGGUUUAGAAAAUAUUUAUAGUAACUUUUUAUCGGAAAAUAAAAAGUAAUUGAUUUUUUUGAUAGCUUCUUAUAUUUAUCAUGAAAGUGGUAUAAAAACUUCCGUAAAAUGGUCCAUUAACAAAUGCCCUAAGGGCAACCCAUUAAGUGGAUCCUAAUUUAUUUAUGAUAUGUUAUAAAAGANGGGGGGGAAGCCUACUUUCCUAGGACCAGGCCGAGGAUACCUUGUCCUCGGCCUGACAAGGGUGGUUUUGGGGAGAGUUUAACCCCAAAGUAAGUUGUCACUAUCGCAUUGAAUGCACUCAACUAACCCCCCUGGCCGCAUUAAUGGGGAGGUAACCCUUUGACAGGAUAACGUUGGUUAGAGCGAGCCACUUGAGUACCGAUAAGGCCUCUGAUGGGACGGACAACCAGAAGAAAAGCGAAUAGAUGAUCAACAGAUGGAAACAGAAGAUAGGAAGAUGAAAACUAUAAAAGAAGAGUUAGUAACCCCAAAGGAGGGGGGGGGAAAGAAAAGGCCUCCUCGGCCACAGUCCGAGGAGCAAUCCCUCAUUUGUAAGAAAACACUUAGCCAUUUUUUAAUAUGAGUUUGGCCAUGGUGAUCAACGGCCAGCACCUAAGCCUUUCAGCCCACUCUCUAUAAAUGUAUUGUUUGGGCUUGUUGGGCCGGGAACCUAACAUUCAACUCAAAUUGAGUCCAUACAGUUUUGAUCAUGGUUUGCCAACAAUACAAAUUAGAGUUCUAAAUACAUAAAUUCCUAAAUCUUUAGAACCUAACAGAAUUGAAUGUUUUGAAAUGGAUUUCAUGCUAAGUGUAAUUUCUAAUUGGAGCUUAAGGUUGCCUCUAGUCAACAAGAACGUUUUAGAUUUCUAGGGUUCUAAAAUAAUUACUUGGGCAAUCAAUUCAAAGAAGACAGAUUUUUCAUCUAGAAAUUUAUUAACCUAUAUUAGUAUUCAGUUUUUUAUUUUAAUUUUUUUUAUUUAUUAAUCUUUUAAAUUUUGUUAUUAUUAUUAUUUUUUAAUUUUUAUCUACAUAAGAAACAACUCUUCUCUGAUUCUCUUAAUAUCAACUCACCUUGCUGCCACUACAGUAUUAAUUUUUUUUGGCAAUUUCAUUGCACAAUCAAAGAUACAACACAUGCUCUUCUUUCUAACUCUUUUGUAUGCUGGAGCCCUAGUGAAAUUCAAAAUCAUUGUUUAGGAUUCUUUAUAUGGCUAGCUAUUUUGUCUAAAACUUUGUGUCCUAAAUGUUAAGAGCUGGUGUUAUUAUUAUUUGUUUGUUGGUUGUAAGGUACCUUUGUUGAAGGAAUAAAAGAAGAAGUUGUAUUAUCACCUGUUCACGCACUUUCCCUUAUAGCAGCUGAAGAAGGUACAAAUGUGAUUUUUUUUUAAAUUUUAUUUAUUAUUAUUUUUUAAUAAUACAAUAAAGUCAAAAGAAAAUAGGUUCUUUAAAACUAGAGUUGGAUAAUAUAUAUAUAUAUAUAUUUUGAUAAGUAGAGCUGUGUAAUUUAUUGGGAAAAGUUAAUAGAUGCUUGGAGAGAUUUGGUUUAGAAAAUAUUUAUAGUAACUUUUUAUCGGAAAAUAAAAAGUAAUUGAUUUUUUUGAUAGCUUCUUAUAUUUAUCAUGAAAGUGGUAUAAAAACUUCCGUAAAAUGGUCCAUUAACAAAUGCCCUAAGGGCAACCCAUUAAGUGGAUCCUAAUUUAUUUAUGAUAUGUUAUAAAAGAAUAUUUUACAAUAGCAAAAAAAUGAAUGAAUAUUUUGUUGUCGCAUGUGAACUCAUGCUUUAGAAUGCUUCCCCAGCCAAAAGACAAAAAUAGUAUUAUACAUUAUGAUUAUGUUACAGUUGUUUGCGAAACUGAAAUUUUAAGAUUGCUUGUCUUGUCAAUUUUGAGUGUUGUCCCACUCUGUCUCCCUUUCUUGUUACAAUUUGAAAUUCUUUUCAUGAUUUUUGAUAUGAUUUAAAUUGUUAAUGGCAGAGCACAGACAUGUGGGUUCCAAAAAUUUUAAUUUACUCAGCAGCAGGAGUCAUACAAUAUUCACUCUGGUAUUUUUUCACUAUCUUAGUACCUACCAAUAUAUAUAUAUAUAUAUAUAUUGCAUGUGAACUCAUGCUUUAGAAUGCUUCCCCAGCCAAAAGACAAAAAUAGUAUUAUACAUUAUGAUUAUGUUACAGUUGUUUGCGAAACUGAAAUUUUAAGAUUGCUUGUCUUGUCAAUUUUGAGUGUUGUCCCACUCUGUCUCCCUUUCUUGUUACAAUUUGAAAUUCUUUUCAUGAUUUUUGAUAUGAUUUAAAUUGUUAAUGGCAGAGCACAGACAUGUGGGUUCCAAAAAUUUUAAUUUACUCAGCAGCAGGAGUCAUACAAUAUUCACUCUGGUAUUUUUUCACUAUCUUAGUACCUACCAAUAUAUAUAUAUAUAUAUAUAUUUACUAUCUUAGUGGAAGCAUAAUGUGCUUUAGUUGACUGUUGCAUUUCAAUAUUUCAGUACUGUUUCUUAUAGGUUAUUCUUACUUUUUUUUCCUGGCUUCUAUAUUAGAUUGACUUUUCACAUUUUCUUGACGCAAAAAACACAAACAAACUUUUCAAACAUGCACACACGCUCACAAAGUCAAACACAACACAAACACCCACACACACCCUCACUCAACACUCUUGCAUGGAGAACAGUAACAGAGGAAUGAUUAUAAUUAUAAAUGUAAAAUUGUCUACCAUGCAUGUGGUCUACCAAUUUACUGGCCUUUAGAUGAUGCAGCUAUCUAUUCCUCUGUUUGUAGUUGAACUCUAGUGUGUUUAGUCUUAGUUGAAAGGCCCUGAGUAAAAAAUCAGCUUUUUAAUUAUUUUUUAUUUCUUACUUAUUGAGAUUUGGUCCUGGAAAACUUUCUUAUUAGCUUUUUAAUUACAUUAUCAGUUUAUAUUUGUUGCCCCUUUUAUUUAUUUAUUUUUUUUUUCCUAUUGUUAAUUUAUUAGAUUUAUGCAAUUUUUAUAACUGAUUGUUUACCCCAGUAUACUUCAUGUAUACUUGGGUGAUUCGUUUUCCUGAUUUACAUAAUUUUAUUACUUAUAAAAAAAAAAAAUUGUAAGCUUCAUCUGGGAGAAUGCAAAUCAUGUUCUUGUUUCCUUAGAUUUCUUGAGGUACCUCUACAGUUUUUUGGCUUGAUCAGCUGAAUAAUUCUAUUAUGCUGUAAUGGUAUGCAACACAAACUGCAAGUAUUGUUUUCUGAGGCUUUGUAAUGAGAUUGCUUGUGUGUGUGUGUGUGUGUUUGUUUGUUUUUUUCUUGUGAUUGUGCCUGUGUUUGGUAAAGUCCGAUUGGUAAAUAUGAGUAAUUCUUGGUCCUUAGACUGGAAUGGGGAUUUUUUGAAGAGUGUGAAUCUGGUUGGAGAUUUUAGUGGGCUGUACGCUCCAAUUUAAGUGUUUAAAUUUAGUUGCUAAGAUUUGUAUAUCUUGUCUGAAUUUGUUCAAGAGUUUAAGUGAAAUGAUGCUUCCAGAAUUUGCAGACGAAUUAGAGUUUUAGCAAGAUAUAAUUUGGUAUUUCUGAGAACUUUUUGAGUUACCACAUUAUUUGAUUCAAAAGGUUCUGGUUUACCAAAGGUUUUCUUACAUAUAUGGAUGUUUUAUAUCUAGGUCCUUUCUUUAGUGCAAUUAUAUAUAUUAUUGGUAAAUUACAAACCCACCCAAUGAAUUUAAACCCACAUUAUGCAGGACAGAAAUUUUAGUGAGCUUAUUAAUGCUAUAAAGUUUCAGUUAGGUUGGCCAUUUAUGUAUUUAACAUCUUCAUUAUAUAUGCAUACUGUGGCAGUAGCAAAUAUUUGACUGUAUUUGGCUUGAAAGGGUUGGUAACUUGUUCAAUUCUACCUUACAUGACUGUAUUUAGCAAAAUAAAUAAAUAAUGACUAUAUAUCAAUAUACCUACUAAUUGACAAACUCACUUGCUACACAAUACAAGUAGAAAUGCGUAUUGCAUAAAAGCAUUACGUAUUUUUUCUUUAAAUAGAUAUAAGAUAGAAAUGACAGAAUUAUAAAAUUUGGAAUCAUUAUAGUGUUACUUAGACCAACUCAAAGGGGUGGCACCACAAAGCCAAUUACAUCGUAAUUUUGAUUCACACUGAAAAUGUGGAAUAGGAAGCAAGUUCUUUGUCAAGCAAUGGGCUGUCAAUGAGCUGGUUUAGCUUAGGCUGUCAAUGAACUGGUUUAAGAACAAAGCAAAUAUGAUUAGGCUAAUUAUUAGAUAUUAAUCCUUCGAGGCUCAAAACCAUGAAAUCCAUUUCAUGUUUACUCCAUUUCUCAUGACCUUCAAACAUUUGGCAUGCCCAGCUGUUGUGUAAUUGACAUUAUUGCAUCUAUUGAUCAUAUCUUCUAAUUUUAAUAGUUAAAGAUGUAAUUUUAUUAUUCAACUAUAUAUUAUAAUGAUUAUAUUAUUUUCAAGUAAUUUAAAUUAAGAAGGUUGAAAGUUAUUAAGUUAAUCAAGUCUAUUACCGUAUAUUAUCAUAAGUCCACUUCAGAAAUUUUAAGGUUGUUUAAGAACUUAAUAAAAUAUUAUCUUUUUAUGUUUCUCUUGAGAUACACUGACAAAUUAAAUUUGUAGUUUUGUACAAUUACUGCCCAAUCUCAUUAGUGUUAGCUAUAGGCUGUUAGCCAUGAACAUCAAAAAAUGUCUAAUUCUAUAAUGCUCGAAACCAUGCCUUUUAACUGAUAAUUAAAAUGCAUCUUCUUUUUCAAUAACUUAAUAAUAUCUUUAAUUCAAAAUAUGUACAUUAAAUAAGCCUAUUAAUUACCAUGCUAUAAGUUGGAUAUUUUUGCAUGUUAUAAUAAAUGUAAAAUUUGGUACCAUGCUUCUUUAAUUACCAUUGAGAUUUUUUCAAUAACUUAAUAAUAUCUUUAAUUCAAAAUAUGUACAUUUUAAUUUAAUCACAUAAAACACGCAAAUAUAGAAGAGGAAUAGAACUGAACUCUAGCCAUGCCGGCAUGCACAUGGUGUCGGUGUGAGUGUGAUAUAAAUAAGCCUAUUAAUUGCCCAUAUAUUAACCUAAGUUGAAGACCAUACACGUGGAAAAAUUCGAUCCUUUUUACCUAAUUAAUAAUAAAAAGUCAAAAGUACACAUAAAUAAAAGACUCAAACAAUAGCCAAUGGCCUUGUAACCAAGGGGUGCUCAAGUUUCGUUGUAACCUCUUACUUGAAAGUUCUAUUUCCACACUUACCAAAAAAAAAAAAAAAGAUUCAAACAAUAUAUUUUAAAAGAAAAAAAAAAGUUAAUAGUAGUUUAGUGAUUUUGGGCUAUUUGCUAUGGUAGUUUAAACAACACUUUUAAAUUUUUAAACAACAUCAUACGUAUUUUAAUGCAUUUUUUUUACUCACAUAUAUUUUUAAAAAAUACAAACAAUAUUACUAAAACAAUGUUAUCAAACAACUUCUUUUUUUUCACAACUCAUUAAUAAUACUAUUUUUAUAAUUAAUGAAAAUCACAAUUGACCAAGUCAAUAAUUAUAUUAAAAAAAUUUGUAUUAUGAAAAUUUUUGUGACACUAAAACACAUAGUACAAAAUACAGUAAAUACUACUACAUGGAAGAUCAUUUUCGGAGUCUUUGUCCUCAAAAGUGAUAUAUAUAUCAUAUAUGCUCUCAUUUUCAUCUAUCAAAGAUGCUAUCCCCAUGUCGGUUUAACCCAACCCCUCCCCCCACCCCANNNNNNNNNNNNNNNNNNNNNNNNNNNNNNNNNNNNNNNNNNNNNNNNNNNNNNNNNNNNAUCCCCACACUACCAUGACUUGUCAAAGAUUGGUGAGCUACACCAUUUUUCUUCUAUUUCUCUCACGUUGACAACGUUUUACAAUAAAAGUCCAAUUAACGGGAUUACUAGGUGUUCUUGGAAUAUUUGUUAGUGGAAUAUUUAAAAAAAAAAUUGAUACUAAUUUUAUAAAAAAUAUAAAAAUUAAAAAGUAAUAAAAAAAAUUAGUUGCUUUUUUUCUUUUUUUAAAUAUUUCAUAAAUUAAUAUCUUUGGAGUAUUUAUUAACUUUUCCAUAUUUCAAAACAAGCCUUAAGUUGUAAAUGAUUAUUAAUUCUAAUCUUGACCCAUUAAUGACAUUAUUUUUUUAUACACCUAUAACAAUUUUCUGCUUAAAAUUUAUUGGGAAAUUAUUAUUACACUUCGAGUUUAGAGAAUUCCGUCCCCCAAAAAGAAAAAAAGAGAGUUAAUAACGUGUUCGGUGAUGCCCAGUCACAAUGAGAGAGCAUGUAGACGCGCGAAAUUGACAAGAUAGGGACUGUUAGGUAUGGCAAAGGUGGGUGUUGCAGUCGUAGUUCUUAGUUGUGGGGCCUGUCUUCUAGAUCCCAACACAAAAUGGAGAGUUUGGGUUUGAUUGUGCGUUAACACUUACACACUUGGCUUUGGUGGACAUGACUCACUCACUCACUCACUCUUCAAUUAUUCAUUGCUAAUCUUGCAUGGCUAUUGGACACUAUUGCUUUGUGAUGGGGUCUACUCCCCCAACCUUUGAGCUUUCAAUAUCAUUUCUUGCUUGCCAGUAGGGAAUAUUCCUUUUUUUUUUUUCUCAAUUUCUCACCAUCUUCACUAAUCAAUCCACAAUUAUCAAGUUUUAUAUUUCUAGAUGGAGGGGAACCCCUACCGACCCUGGUCCCUGGACAACCGAAAGGGAGAUAUGUUCUCCAACAUGUUUCAUUAGUAGGGGAGAGAUGUUCAAACCUAAAAUUGAAAUCUUGUUACCAAUUAUCUCUUACCACUAGGUCAUUUUCUGCAUUGGCAUAUCGCCUUUAUAUUUCAUUUUAACUAUAAUCAAUCCUUUGUUUUAUAGUAAGGAUUAAGUGUUUAUCAAAAUUUUGGCUUUUUUCUUUUUAAUAAUUCUAUAAUUAGGGUAAAGAGAAUUUAAAUCUUGAACAUUUUCAUUAAUAAUACAAAAAAAAAAUGCUAGUUAAAUUACAAAAUUCUUAUUGUUGAACAGCUAUAUUGACUAUUGAAGACAGUCAUUUUUCUAGGAAAAAGAAAAAGAAAAAAAGCCUUUUUCUUACAUAAUUUUUUUUUUAAAAUGGAUAAAAAUGAAAUUUGUAUUGACUAAUGUUGGUGCCACAAUUUGCUCGUGUGGUGAGUUGUAAUUGAUAAAAGGAUGUCCUCACAUGAACUUAUUAUCAUCCCUCUACUAAUCACAAUUUGCUGCAUAGGCGAGUUGUCACAGCAUAGCCCAUAUGUAUUACGUCGAUAACUUGUCAAUUUGGUGAAAAAAUUUCACCAUUUCUAAUGAUUUGACAUUUUUUUUUUGACGAAAGAUAGAUUAAUGAUUUAAUCACAACUUGUUGCGUAAGCGAAUUGUCAUAGCAUAGCCCAUAUGUAUUACGUGGAUAUCUUGUCAAUGGUGAAAAAUUUUACCAUUUCUAAUGAUUUGACAUUUGACAAAACCUCUGGAAAGAAGAAAAAAAUUAUAUAAUAAUCAGGCAAAAAAAAAAAAAAAUUCGAGUAAGAAGCAAAGAAUAAAAGAAAACCCAUUGUCUUUUUUCUCCCACACAUUUUUUUCUUUCUUUAGAUUUGGACACGUUGCAAAUCCCAGUAUUCUUGAAACUCAAUCAAGAACCAAAUUAUAAAACGGCUUUUUUUUUUGGGUACUGAUUAUCAGAUUAAGACCAAUUAAACCUUCACUAAGUACAUAAAAGUUUACAAAUUAAAUCUUAAUCAAAGACAGAUUGAUAGGUUUAAGGUUUGUUUCUAAAAAAAAAAAAAGGUUUAAGGUUCAAAUCACACCCAUAAUACGUGAAGGUUACUAUGCUAUGAAGUGUAUAAGCCAAGUUCUGAUUCAAAUCUUUUAGCUGUAUUUAAACGAAAAAAGAAAAAAAGAAAAAAAGAAAAAACUUGUCCUAGGUUGUGGAAAUUUCAAUUCUCUACUUAAUAAACAAGGCAGAAACAAGUUAAAAACUCUUUAAAUGUUAGUAGUUCAACUCUCUCUCUCUCUCUAUUUCUCUCUCUAAAAAUAGCAACCCCCACAAUCUCUUCCAUGGAGUUUGGGACACACUAAAAUCUCUUUCACAAAAGAGUUCUGUCUGCCAUAGCCCCACACUGCAAAACCACUAUACCAGUACAUUGGUAAAGUAACCUCUCUCUCUCUCUCUCUCUCUCUCUCUUAUCAUUUAAGUAACCUUUAGUUUGUUUUGUUUUGUUUUUUUUUUUUUAAUGAAAAAAAAAUCAGCUCAAUGAAUAGAUUUCUCAUUCUAGUAUCUGAAGUGUGUUGUUGCUUCUACUUGUUCCUUGUUUCCACUUAUUAAGUAUUUGCAUUGAGGAUCCUUACCUAUUUCUUGGUUUUAUUCACGUGGGGUUCAGACAUUUAUGUAGCCUUUGUACUGUUUAGUUAUCUGGGUCUGGGUUUUUGUAUUAUUGGUUCUUUGUUUUUUUUUGGGUCAAUCCAAUUGGGUUCUCAGGCAUUGAGAUUUCCUUGACUAUGAAGCUUCAAGUAUGGGAAUUUGUGAGACUUUUCUCUUUGUAUUGAGUUUGGCUUUUUGUGCCUUUUUUUUUUUUAAACAGUACUUAUCAAGACUUUCCAUUUGUCACUCAUAUUUAGUUUUAUGCAAAUUUCUGGACUAUAGGAGAUUGAGAUUCUACUUUGUUUAUGGCUGAAAGUGCAUGAGAUUUUUCAUUUUUGUUGCGUGAACUGAAGUGGGUUUGUGUGCAGUCUCAUAAAACUGUGA
rnacentral:sRNA from 1 species